GUUUUGUGAAUGGAGGCUGUUCUGCUGUGAGUAUAUCGGGGUGCUCUGUGCUCCCCUCGUUAAUGAUCGCGUUGCUAUAGGUUUUGUGAAUGGAGGCUGUUCUGCUGUGAGUAUAUCGGGGUGCUCUGUGCUCCCCUCGUUAAUGAUCGCGUUGCUAUAGGUUUUGUGAAUGGAGGCUGUUCUGCUGUGAGUAUAUCGGGGUGCUCUGUGCUCCCCUCGUUAAUGAUCGCGUUGCUAUAGGUUUUGCGAAUGGAGGCUGUUCUGCUGUGAGUAUAUCGGGGUGCUCUGUGCUCCCCUCGUUAAUGAUCGCGUUGCUAUAGGUUUUGUGAAUGGAGGCUGUUCUGCUGUGAGUAUAUCGGGGUGCUCUGUGCUCCCCUCGUUAAUGAUUUCAGUUGUGUUGCACAGUCGAAACACAGCUAACUGUGGAACGAGUGAUUUCGGAGAUACAGACACGGAGAUGACUUCAAGGAGGAGGAAACAAAGAUGUCUCCACAGCUGCAUGGGAACCUCAGCAUUUCCCCGGUUCAUUAUUAAUAGCGGGCUGUCAAGACUUGUCAGCGGGUCGAGCGAGGUGAGAUAAAGACACACACAGGAUUAUUUAAAGUCGUUCGUGACUCGCAUGACUCUGAACAGGUCUGUGUUUCUCUCUCGUCAUGAACCAGCUGCUGCCCAACCCAAGGAACUGCUUUGAAGACAUUUACUUCCUGUGUCAUGUGACCCGCAGCUCGCUUCAGCUACAGUGAAGAGGAGCGCUUGUGCGAGUCGAUUUUAUACUUCGUAUUGUUGAGGAUAGUGGAUAAUAAAACUAUAUCCAUAAUAAUAAUAAUAAUAAUAAUAAUAAUAAUACUAAUAAUCAGAGUUGAAAGUCAGCCGGUACGGCCCGGAACUGCCUACCGGCAAAACAUCUUGUCAAGAGGAGAAACCCAGCUAACUGAGGAACGAGUGACUCAGUAGAGAGAGGCAUGGACCCGACUCCAAGGAGAAGAAGAAGGAGUAAAGAGAAUGACCCUCCUGAUAUGUCACAAGAGCCUGCCAGACAGACAGAGGUCUCUAUUCGCUGUGUUGGGGUCCAGUGUGAGCUGACAGGAAUCUGAUUGAAGAGAAGAGGACGGGUAGAGGAGAGACGGUUAGAAAAGUCAAAUCACUGAGAAAAUCAACAGUCAUUGUCUGCUGCAUCCUCUCAUCCUGUUUAUGGAAGGUGUGUGUGUUGUUUUAAUUAUUUUUUUUAAUACAUUUUGACCACUUUUUUAAACUUUUAAAUUGCAUUCCCUGCCUCAAGAUGGCUUCCCGUGGACCGGCAUGGACCUCUCAGAACUACAUUUCCCAUCAUCCUCCUGCUCACUAGUAAUUCCAUCUCAAUUACAUAU